rnacentral:rRNA from 1 species
AGUGAACGCUGGCGGUAGGCCUAACACAUGCAAGUCGAACGGCAGCACAGUAAGAGCUUGCUCUUACGGGUGGCGAGUGGCGGACGGGUGAGGAAUACAUCGGAAUCUACUUUUUCGUGGGGGAUAACGUAGGGAAACUUACGCUAAUACCGCAUACGACCUACGGGUGAAAGCAGGGGAUCUUCGGACCUUGCGCGAUUGAAUGAGCCGAUGUCGGAUUAGCUAGUUGGCGGGGUAAAGGCCCACCAAGGCGACGAUCCGUAGCUGGUCUGAGAGGAUGAUCAGCCACACUGGAACUGAGACACGGUCCAGACUCCUACGGGAGGCAGCAGUGGGGAAUAUUGGACGAUGGGCGCAAGCCUGAUCCAGCCAUACCGCGUGGGUGCAGAAGGCCUUCGGGUUGUAAAGCCCUUUUGUUGGGAAAGAAAAGCAGCAGGUUAAUACCCCGCUGUUCUGACGGUACCCAAAGAAUAAGCACCGGCUAACUUCGUG